rnacentral:rRNA from 1 species
UACGAAGGGGGCUAGCGUUGCUCGGAAUCACUGGGCGUAAAGCGCACGUAGGCGGCUUCUCAAGUCAGGGGUGAAAUCCUGGAGCUCAACUCCAGAACUGCCUUUGAUACUGAGGGGCUCGAGUCCGGGAGAGGUGAGUGGAACUGCGAGUGUAGAGGUGAAAUUCGUAGAUAUUCGCAAGAACACCAGUGGCAAAGGCGGCUCACUGGCCCGGUACUGACGCUGAGGUGCGAAAGCGUGGGGAGCAAACAGGG